GCUGCAUUCAGACUUCGCUGCUCCAGCUUCUGGGGCACAUUCCAUUCUUUCAGUCUGUGACCUACAGAGGAAAGAAAAAAAUUACAUAUUUUCUUGCCCUGUACAUACCUGGAGGUGAGCCAUAAAAUUAAAGUAAAUUUUAACCAUGAGGGAAAUCAUGCAUAUUCAGGCCGGUCAGUGUGGCAGUCAGAUUGGUGCAAAGUUCUGGGAGGUGAUCAGUGAUGAACAUGGCAUUGACCCCACCGGUACCUACAAUGGGGACAGCGACCUACAGUUGGACCAUAUCUCCAUGUACUACAAUGAAGCCACAGGUGUCAAACAUGUUCCCUGUGCUAUACUAGUGGAUCUAGAACCUGGGACCAUGGACUCUGUUCACUCUGGUCCUUUUGGGCAAAUCUUCAGACCAGACAAUUUUGUUUUUGGUCAGUCUGGGGCAGGCAACAACUGGGCAAAGGGCCACUAUACAGAAGGGGCUGAGCUGGUUGAUUCCGUCCUGGAUGUGGUUUGGAAAGAGGCCAAGAGCUGUGACUGCCUGCAGGGCUUCCAGCUGACCCAUUCGCUGGGUGGGGACACAGGUUCUGGAAUGGGCACCCUCCUCAUCAGCAAGAUUCGAGAAGAGUAUCCUGACCGCAUUAUGAACACCUUCAGUGUGAUGCCCUCACCCAAAGUGUCAGACACUGUGGUUGAGCCCUACAACACCACCCUCUCUGUCCAUCAGUUGGUAGAGAACACUGAUGAGACCUACUGCAUUGACAAUGAGGCCCUCUAUGACAUCUGCUUCCGAACCCUCAAGCUGACCACACCAACCUAUGGGGAUCUAAACCACCUCGUCUCAGCCACCAUGAGCGGUGUCACCACCUGCCUCCACUUCCCUAGCCAGCUCAGUGCUGACCUCCACAAGCUGGCAGUCAACAUGGUGCCCUUCCCAUGUUUCCACUUCUUCAUGCCUGGCUUUGCCCCUCUCACCAGCCGUGGAAGCCAGCAGUAUCGGGCUCUCACACCACCUGAAGUCACCCAGCAGGUCUUCGAUGCCAAGAACAUGAUGGUUGCCUGUAACCCCCGCCAUGGCCGGUGCCUCACCGUGGCUCCUAUGUUUUGUGGAUAGAUGUCCAUGAAGGAGGUAGAUGAGCAGAUGCUCAACGUGCAGAACAAGAAUAGCAGCUACUUUGUGGAAUGAAUCCCUAAUGUCAAGACAGCUGUGUGCGAUAUCCUGCCUCAUGGCCUCAAGAUGGCAGUCACCUUCAUCUGCAACAGCACAGCCAUCCAGGAGCUCUUCAAGCGUAUCUCCAAGCAGUUCACUUGGAAGGCUGGAAGGCCUUCCUCCACUUGUACACAGGUGAGGGCAUGGAUGAGAUGGAAUUCACUGAGGCUGAGAGCAGAUGAAUGACCUUGUCUCUGAGUAUCAGUAGUACCAGGAUGCCACCGCAGAAGAAAAGGAAGAUUUCGGUGAGGAGGCCAAAGAGGAAGCCUAAGGCAGAGCCCCCAUCACCUCAGGCUUCUCGGUUCCCUUAGCCUUCUUCCUCAUCUGCCCCUGUCCUCUCCCUCAGAAUUUGUGUUUGCUGCCUCUUUUUUUUUUCCCUCUUGGGUGGGGUCUAGAACAGUGCCUGGCCAUAUAAUAGGUACUCAAUAA